rnacentral:rRNA from 1 species
UGCCAGCCGCCGCGGUAAUACGAAAUGUGCAAACGUUGUUCGGAAUCACUGGGCUUAAAGGGUGCGUAGGCGGCUUUGUAAGUCAGAUGUGAAAGCCCACCGCUUAACGGUGGAACUGCAUUUGAUACUGCAAGGCUUGAAUCAGGCUGAGGUCAGCGGAAUGUGUCAUGUAGCGGUGAAAUGCAUAGAUAUGACAUAGAACACCAAUUGCGAAGGCAGCUGGCUAGACCUGCAUUGACGCUGAGGCACGAAAGCGUGGGGAGCGAACAGGAUUAGAUA